GUCCUCCCGCCGCUCGCCGCCGGGGAGCUGCCCGCAGCGCCGCCUCCGCGCAAGAAGGACCUCUUCCUCAGCCUCUCCGACAGCCCCGUCCUCCUCUCGGACAAACGCGUGGACGCGGCAAGUGCUUCUCCUCCUCCAUAAACGGACAGUGUAGCAGCUCGCCUCUGUAUCCAUGACUCCUCAGCUGUUAUUCAGAUGGAUGAAUGUUUGCAAUGUGACAAAUCAUUGCAGUAGAAGUUGGAAUGAGAGAAAUUAUUGAUAUGCUAGGCAGUGAUAAUUUUAUAUCGAUGUUCAAGCUCCAAGGACUGAUUCUAUUUUUGCUGUUUAUCUACCGCAGAUUUUGUCCACAAGUUUGGAGAAUCAUGAUCAUGAUGAAAUUUGAAUAUUUGAUGUCGGCGUCAAUCUAUUAAGUGAAGGGAUGAUUCUUGCGUAUUAGUAAAUAGUGUACGUGCAUCAGAUCAUAUAUACUGUUAGCCUAUAGCAGUUCCAUCUCCCCUUUGUCAAUUUUCACUGACAUCAUAUUAAUUAUAUCCUGUGUGUUCCUAAUGGUGGAGCGUGAAAUUUUACGGUACACAAGCUCAGUAAACCCAUGUAUUGUACAUAGUGGUACUCUUAUAAUUUCUCUCAUUAUAUUAAGUGGAAAUUAUGGAAUGAUGUGGCCCUGCCAUCAUUGCCCCUCUCUGUUUGUUGAAUUGUACAUAACAUAAGAUUUGAACCUUAAAGAAAAAGACAGCAGUAUUGUUCCAACCUGUCUAUUAAUUUGUAUUACUUUCGGGGUUGUUUGUGCUGAUGUUGAUGAUUAUUAAUAGAUCGGCGGAUUUUUCACCUAAAAAUGUAUCAAUUUAGGAUGUUAGUAAAAUGAUCUUACCAGAUAUACAAGUGGUAGUUUUUUCCUUGAGGACGCUAAUGCCAACGUUAACUUCAACUUUUUUCUAGCACGUGUUUAAAUAUACUGAAUAUAUCUAUAGUAGAUUUCAAUCUAUUUGUAUGGUAAAUUACUUUGAUAGGAAGUCUAAGAAUGAUAUGAGUAAUUCAAGGUGGAUGGCGUGACGGACGGCGGGCCAUGUGGUAAGGGAGGCGCAGGUGUCGCGAGGUGCCAGGGUGAUUCCAUAUUGGGCUCAAGGUAGACUGUAUGCGGUUUUGUUACUUGGAUCAGAUCCAGCGACUCUGGAAGGUCAUUGGAUCUUUUCACAUGAGACUAGAACCUUUUCCUCCUAAUUCUUGAAUACUGAAUUAACAAGAAUAGUAUUGUUUGGAGUUUAGAGGUUGAUACAGUGCUCCAAAGAAUGCAUCAGACAAGCAUUGCCAGCAAAUUAGUGUGUGUAUAUACAUAUAUGUAUGUAUUAUGGUUCUCCUUACAACAUAGCUUAAUGUACAAGAGCCUGUUUACUCAACAACUUAUAAGCAGCAUUUAUCCAUCUAUGUUUGUAGUUUCUGUUUUAUGUACAUAUAUACUGUAGUUUAAUCUCUCCUCCAGUUAGACGUGGAAGACUGAAUUUUAAUGGAACUCUUCAGGUUUGCUUAGUGAGAUUGCGGCAUGAAAGAUGUUGAUUUGUCGUAGAUUUUUGGCAGGUAUCGCUUUAAUACUAAAUUUCAAAUUUUCCAUUUUGUAUAGCUUGCAUUAAGUAUAUUUGUGCCACACUUUCAUUCGUGGCAUAACACAAUAUCAAUGUAAGGAAGUAAACCAAGGAACUAAAUGUGAAUAUCAAAAGCAAGUACAAUACUGAGGAUGAUGUUGGCGAAUUUGAUUACGCUUUUAGUUUCCUCCAUCUAGACAAGUUCACAAAAGAUUACUCAAAUUUUGGCCGCAUUGACCUUGUUAGGGAAUUCCACUAUUUAGUACAUAAUAUACCGUUUAAUAUGCCGAUUGGUGUAUGUAUAAGAAACUGUUUGGACAUUUAUUAUUGUUUACCAUCGUAGUAUUGCCCAACCAUGGCACAGAGUUUCAGUAACAAAGAUGCAUAGAUUCAUAAUUUCAGUAACAGUAUUGUACUCAUGUUAAGAUUGUUGUCUCUCUACUCUUAAUAUGUCUAAUCCAUAUAUACUUCUAUUAAUGGUAUAUCCACUACGUUGCAGUAACAAAGAUGCAUAGAUUCAUAAUUUCAGUAGCAGUAUGUAAUUUUCUGGCUUAAUUAUUUCUGGACUAAUUAACGAUUAAUAAUUGCAUUGUGAAACAUUCCUCUUCUCAUAUUCCUACCAUAUCUGCACCUUGUCUGUGUCAUGUGUCAGUACCAAAAGAUGUUGCUUCCAUGUUAAUAAGCUCUUAUCUUGGGACUGAAUUUGUGCCAGUUUGCACAUUCUGUCACAUGUGAUCAGCUACUUAGUUUAUUCAGUUUACAGAUUUAAAUAUUUAUCAUUGCACUAUUAUUUAACAGUCUGUACUAAGUUUAUUAGGGAAAUAGAAGUACUAACUACUUAGUUGGAUUAACUAUGCAAAUCGCUGAAAUGACACCAUUUUUCUCUUAGUAGAAUCACUUAAAUGCCUCCUCCAGUUGAAGGAGUUUCUUGCUUUUUUAUUAUUCACACAAUCUAUCCCACCAAGGUUAAUAGAUACAAUUCAUGCUAGCAGGACUUACAAGAUUAAAGUGAAAUCUCUUAUAUUAUUCAGAACAUUUAUGUAUGAAUGCUGGUUGUUAAUCACUAUAUGAAACUAUUAUAUUGUUUAGUAUUUACAUGGCCAAAGAGACACACAUGCUACAGUAGAAAUAUUUUUGAUACUUUUACAUACUUACAGGUUAGUGGGGAAUGGAACAUGCCCUGAAGUUUGCAUUUCCAACUAUGUUGUCCACCAAGGCAUACAUCAUUAUUAAAUUUGCAUGUGCAUAGUUUUACCUCAUCUAUAAAUCUUUGACUGAUGAUAUGUGGUGAUUGUUGUAUAUUUUUUCAUAAUAGCAUGCUACAACCAUAAUAUCUUUGUUAUUAAGGCAUAUAUAGUUUUUAUUUCCAUAUGCAAAUACUGUUCAAAGCAAUAUAUAUUUCUACUCUUUUAUUGAUGGUAUAACCAUCUGGCAAUCAUAUAGCUCAAUUAAAAGAUGUAAUUUAAGGAAGUUUAUAGAAAAAAAAAUGUUAUUGAAUAAAAAGAUUGAUUUACUGUAUACCAAAUGUUACCAUGAAUAUAAAUGCAGAAGUGGCAUUGUCUCCUGAUGUAGGCUUGCACACUCCGCCGCCUCUGCCCUCGGUCUGUGUGUAUGUGAUGGAUCUCAUGUUGGUUUGGUCUGCUAAGUGGCGGUGCUGAAAGCUUUUUUUUUUUUUUGCUCCAGGUCCAUGUAGUGAUGAUCCAGAUUUGCAUUCGAUCGGGAAAUCACUCUGAGAAAAAUGAAGAGGCAGCUAUUCCCAUAUGGUGUUGAGAAGUUAGGGAAGAAGAAUGUGUGGAACUCCAAGUAGCUGCUCUUUCAUUGGAGCAGGUUGCAUCAGAAAGGCGUUUGCUGCAUCCUCAGGAUGGUGUGUGCUCUUGUGUUUUGUCUGUGCGCCAUCGUCAUGUAGUCUGCAUGAGGCUGAACCUGAUAUGAUGUUUAGGUCGAUGUGCAAGUAUGCUACCUUAACAUUCUUGAACUUAGGCCAUGUACUAUCUACAUUUAUGUGAUGUUUAUGAGUAUGCUAUGCCAGUGUAUGAUGUGCGUUA